rnacentral:rRNA from 1 species
GGACGGGUGAGUAAUGCUUAGGAAUCUGCCUAUUAGUGGGGGACAACAUCUCGAAAGGGAUGCUAAUACCGCAUACGUCCUACGGGAGAAAGCAGGGGACCUUCGGGCCUUGCGCUAAUAGAUGAGCCUAAGUCGGAUUAGCUAGUUGGUGGGGUAAAGGCCUACCAAGGCGACGAUCUGUAGCGGGUUUGAGAGGAUGAUCCGCCACACUGGGACUGAGACACGGCCCAGACUCCUACGGGAGGCAGCAGUGGGGAAUAUUGGACAAUGGGGGGAACCCUGAUCCAGCCAUGCCGCGUGUGUGAAGAAGGCCUUUUGGUUGUAAAGCACUUUAAGCGAGGAGGAGGCUACCGAGAUUAAUACUCUUGGAUAGUGGACGUUACUCGCAGAAUAAGCACCGGCUAACUCUGUGCCAGCAGCCGCGGUAAUACAGAGGGUGCAAGCGUUAAUCGGAUUUACUGGGCGUAAAGCGCGCGUAGGUGGCCAAUUAAGUCAAAUGUGAAAUCCCCGAGCUUAACUUGGGAAUUGCAUUCGAUACUGGUUGGCUAGAGUAUGGGAGAGGAUGGUAGAAUUCCAGGUGUAGCGGUGAAAUGCGUAGAGAUCUGGAGGAAUACCGAUGGCGAAGGCAGCCAUCUGGCCUAAUACUGACACUGAGGUGCGAAAGCAUGGGGAGCAAACAGGAUUAGAUACCCUGGUAGUCCAUGCCGUAAACGAUGUCUACUAGCCGUUGGGGCCUUUGAGGCUUUAGUGGCGCAGCUAACGCGAUAAGUAGACCGCCUGGGGAGUACGGUCGCAAGACUA